GUCAGCAAGCGCGUGCUAACAUGCAGUCGAGCGAUGGAUGGGAGCUUGCUCCCUGAAGUUAGCGGCGGACGGGUGAGUAACACGUGGGCAACCUACCUACAAGAUUGGGAUAACUUCGGGAAACCGGAGCUAAUACCGGGUAAUACAUUGGAUCGCAUGGUCUGAUGUUGAAAGAUGGCUUCGGCUAUCACUUGUAGAUGGGCCCGCGGCGCAUUAGCUAGUUGGUGAGGUAACGGCUCACCAAGGCAACGAUGCGUAGCCGACCUGAGAGGGUGAUCGGCCACACUGGGACUGAGACACGGCCCAGACUCCUACGGGAGGCAGCAGUAGGGAAUCUUCCGCAAUGGACGAAAGUCUGACGGAGCAACGCCGCGUGAGUGAUGAAGGCCUUCGGGUCGUAAAGCUCUGUUGUUAGGGAAGAACAAGUACCGUUUGAAUAAGGCGGUACCUUGACGGUACCUAACCAGAAAGCCACGGCUAACUACGUGCCAGCAGCCGCGGUAAUACGUAGGUGGCAAGCGUUAUCCGGAAUUAUUGGGCGUAAAGCGCGCGCAGGCGGUUCCUUAAGUCUGAUGUGAAAGCCCACGGCUCAACCGUGGAGGGUCAUUGGAAACUGGGGAACUUGAGUGCAGAAGAGAAGAGCGGAAUUCCACGUGUAGCGGUGAAAUGCGUAGAGAUGGUGGAGGAACACCAGUGGCGAAGGCGGCUCUUUGGUCUGUAACUGACGCUGAGGCG
rnacentral:rRNA from 1 species